CAAAAAAAAAAAAAAAAAGGAUGGAUUAAUUAUUCCUUCAAACUCCACUUUGCUUUUUCAUUAAAAAUGAUUUUUUUUUGAAUUCUCUCUCAAUAUUAAAAUUACUUUUUAAAUAUGAUUAUUUUAUCCUUAAUGCUUAAAAUCUAUGCUCAAUUGCAAGUUGACUACAAAAUUUAGUCUUAUUGACUUUCUUUCAGAGAUAGUAUGUAUGCUCUUGGAGAAACAGAGUAGUUUGGCUAAAACAAAAGAUAAGAGAGAAAAGACUCCACUUCAUUACGCUGCAUAUGAAGGUUCUAGCUCAAUGGUGGCAACUUUAUUAGAUAAUGAUGGUUCUAGCUCAAUGGAGACAACUUUAUUAGAUAAUGAUGAAUAUAUUGCUAGGCAAUUACAGGUUAUGGGAGCUCUUCACAUUGCAGCCGCUCAAGGCUAUAAACACGCAAUAAAUGAGAUUAUUUCUAGAUGUCCAGACUGUUGUAAACUCACUGACACAGAAGGUAAAAACGUUCUUCAUUAUGCAGUAUACAGUAGAAAUGAAGAAGUACUGAAAGCAAUCCUUGAAGAGUCAUCAUUAAUUUCCCUUAUAAUUGGGAAAGAUAAUAACGGGAAUACGCCUGUCCAUGUAUUCAAGGCUCUUAAUCUCCCUUUAUCUUCUUUCAUACUUGACGGAGAUACUAAUGCAUUCAUCUUUUGGAAUAAAUUAUACUGUAUCCUUCCCGAAGACUUUACCAUAAAGGUCAGUUAUGUGUGUGUGUGAAAUUUUUAUAUUAAUAAAUUUUAAUUUAAUGAUAUUUGAGCCAUAUUUAUAAUGGUAAAAUUUUAAAUUUGAAUUUCAAUAAAAACUAAUUAUAUAAAUAUAAAUCUGUUCAAUAUUAGAAAGUAACUCAUUCCAUCAGCAAGAUGUGAUCGCUAAAUUUCAUCAUUCAAGUAAUUAAGUAUAUGAUUUUACUAUGUAAAUUCAAGCAAGUAAAAUACACAACUUAAAAAAAAAUAAACAGCAAAAUUCUGGCAAGUUAAUAUUGUAGGUACACCAGAGACUAGUGAAUAGUGACCUUCCAGCUAGGAGCAUCUUGUAUAUAGAUUAUUAGAUGGAGCCAAAAGUUGUUCUGAUAUGGUUAUUGAAAAAAGAUGGUUUCAACAAUGAAAAAGGUAGCCACCUAUACAAAAGGAAUAAAUGGAACUAUGCAAAGCAAAAAGGGCAAGUUUCCAAGCAUCAUUGGAGACACACACAUGGGGAUUUCAAUUCAUAUCAUUUAAAAAAAAAAAAAUGCCUCCAUCUUGCAAUGGAUGGAAAAAUUGCAGUGACCUAGCAAUGAUCUUAACAUGUAUAUGGUAAUUGGCAGCAGGAAAGGGGAUGUUUUAUACAACAGAUUAUGAAGGAAAUUAAGCAUAACAAAGGGCGCUUUUUUUUAUUCUAAUUGUCUAAAUUCAUGUCCCAGUUACCAAUUAAACCCAACAAAGAAAGGGGAAAAAAUGCAAUGAAAACAGGAAAAAUGAAAAACGUACCCAUUCUUUCUUGAACAUGCCAAU
rnacentral:misc_RNA from 1 species